UGCCCAGCAACUCAUAUCCCUACCUCCUCGUGGUACUGGCCGGGGUACGAGUAUCCUUGUGUAAGAUCGGGUAAUCAACCCCGGUGGGAACUUUGGUCGUAUGCUGUCAGGGAAGG
rnacentral:ribozyme from 1 species